CCUCUCCUAUCCACUCACUGACCACCUCUCGCCCUCUCCCCUCCCCGGCUCCCCCCCGCCACAUCGCCGCGCGCAUCGACGAUCCCGCAACCGCGCGACUCCGCCCGCCGACCACCGAAUCGGUCUCAUGAAUUGGCGGGGCUUGGGGCUACGACAAGCUGUGUGCGGCGCGACUGACGGAGGCGGACGCUGCAAGCUUCCUGACCUGGGCGUGCGUGCUCGAUCCGGUACCAUUUCGGUCGGACCCGUGGCGGUGCUCCUCUCCGGCGAGGUCGCAGGUCGAUCCGAUGCGGGGCGGCUCGAUCUGCAAGCGGAGCAACUCCGAUACGCCACUCCCCUUGCUUGAUGCGCCCCCUCUCCUCUUCUUCUUCCACAUGUUCCUUCCCUGAUGUGGUUUCCUCUUCCCUGGUGUGCUGCGGCGCCGUGACCCGGUCUCACAGGCACGGCCAGGGCGACGACUGCUCCCCGACGCCGCCACCCUCCGCAAGGAGCGACGACAGCUCGAAGCUCUGCGGCACGGCGUGCGCCGAGCGACGUGCAGCGAGGGCGCCGCUGCCUCAGCCAUCGGCGUGUCCGACCACUCGUCCACGUCCCCACUGCUGCCGCCGGCCGGCCACUCGACGUCGCUUGUCCCGCUGCUUUAGCAGGCCAAGAAACCGGAACGCCCCCCGCGCCUGGCGACCUCGGCAUCUCCAUCGACCGUCUCAGAAAGCGCUACCUCGCCCGGCUCCCGCAUAGCUGAUGCAAGCCAAGAAACAGGGAGUGCCGGCAGUAGUACUCUGAAUCCAUCAAUGCAGUUGAAUCCAUAAUGCUAAUCAAGAGGUGGUUUUGGCCUAACUGGGAUGUGCUUGAGUCCCGCAUAGCUGUGGAGGAGGAAGCUGCUGCCCUUCUUGAGUAGUUUGCAAAGAUCUUCAGUGAGCAAAGAGGGCAGUGGAAGGCAGCAACCCAAUCCCAGGAGUUCCUUUGAACCCUUCAGCAUUAAUACAAUAAUGCUUACACAGAUCCUGAGAAGCAGGAUGCUAUAAAUGUAUUCUUGGGCCAUUUCCAGUCUGAACAAGGCAAACCUCCUAUUGUGGAAGUUGGACUGAGAUCAGCAUUACGAUGUUGGCCGCCAAGGAACUCUAUGUGAAGAAACUGGAAGGUCCAUAUAAUUAUGAUGUCUUGGAGGGUAUGACGUUCGGCAAUAUUUCUGAAUCCUUCAAUGCUGACUUUGAGGAUGGUACAAUCGGGGAGGUAAUUAUUUUUCCUUUUGUCAUGUGAAGCCCAACACUAUGCUAUUAACCAGGUAUGGAUCUUUGAGAGUAUCCUUCUGGGUGAAUAUGGAGAAGUAAUGAAUAUCCAAGUACUUGCUGUGGCUGAAAGGGUAGACCUGCUCUAACCAAAGGACCUUUAGAUGCUUGGCCCAGUUCGCCCAUUGUUUUUGACUACAACCAUUGCACUUACUGUUGUGGACCGGUUCGGUAAUUAACCAAAGGAUGAUUGUAAUAGUUGGCUCUGCCUGUCAUGUAUAGAGUAACCGAAAGUUGUAUAUGUUCCUCCCAAGUUAUCAUGUAUUACAUUUGUGGACA